CCCGAUUCGAGUCCGGGUUCGGGAGUGGCGCGAGUCCAGGAACUGGAUGGGGUACAGGAGUCCUGCCGUGACUCACUGCUGCGUUUGAGAGUCAGCCUUCUCCAAACUCCUGGUUAAGGCUCCUAAAGUUCGAGUCUGCAGCUUGACGUCCUUGGGCACCGGGCCAGGCGAGACGUGGGCAGCAGCAGAUUCCUUGGGUGAGAAAAACGUCUCUGAGGCAAAUUCACCUAAUACAGCUGGAGAGAACCUUGUCAACAUCCAAUGUUUAAUGUCGGCCAAGUGAUUUACAUGUACUGUUACUCUGCGUAAUAAUUACACCCAUUUUAAAGAUGAGGAAACUGAGGCCCUGAGGUGAUCGGUAACUUGCCUGAGAUGUCACAGCUAGGAAGUGGACAAGUACUAGAUUAAAGCAGCCCCCUUUUCUCCUGGAGAAACAACAGUCCACCUCUUCCCCUGAUGCACAGUCGAAGCCUAUCACCCCUUCUGCAGCAGUGGCUCCAGAGAACAUCAGUAAAGAUGAUGAGACUGAAAUCCAAGCAAUAGGAUGUCCUCUAAACAGGUUUCUGAGGGAAGGGCAGAGGAGUCUGAGAACACUGGUGGCAAGUCUGAGGAAGCAUCCUCCCUCUCAAACAGGAAAGAAGAGCCAAGAGAGCCAAGUGAGUGAAAAGUUGAA